rnacentral:rRNA from 1 species
UACGAAGGGGGCUAGCGUUGCUCGGAAUCACCGGGCGUAAAGGGUGCGUAGGCGGGUUUUUAAGUCAGAGGUGAAAUCCUGGAGCUCAACUCCAGAACUGCCUUUGAUACUGAAAGUCUUGAGUAUGGGAGAGGUGAGUGGAACUGCGAGUGUAGAGGUGAAAUUCGUAGAUAUUCGCAAGAACACCAGUGGCGAAGGCGGCUCACUGGCCCAUAACUGACGCUGAGGCACGAAAGCGUGGGGAGCAAACAGG